rnacentral:sRNA from 1 species
UGGAGCUGGGGCUGGGCCUGGGACUACGACUACGACUACUGCUACGACUACGAUAUCAAAUGGCUGCCAGUUAAUUGGCGGAACUGUUCGUUCACACCCACGGAAUAUAAUGUUAGCAACCCCCCAUUCAUACGCCGCCGGCUCGAACGCUGGGCUUCAGCUUGGAGACUCAGGACUUAUGUACCCUACGAUUUGCCACAAAUCGAGUCGUAUCCGAUUUCCCCCCGCCAGUCGGAGUCCUAUCCAAGCAUUACCGAGGCGUAAUCGAGACAGACCGAGUCCUAUACCAGCCAGAAAGAAUCGUAUCCCAGCAAGACAGAGGUGCAUCCCUAGCACGAACCUAACCAAGCCAUCGUCAUCCUUCAACCUGGCUAAGGACAGCAAGGACUUUGACUAUAACAACCAAUGGAAGAGCUACGCUCUCUACUAGUCUUAAGAUAGAUAUCGUUAUUGAUAGGAUUAAGGAUAUAAGCGAUCAUACAUAAAUGUU